rnacentral:rRNA from 1 species
UUUGUUAGUUGCUAUGGGCGUUCGGUGGAUGUCUUGGCAUGAGUGGCUGAUGAAGGACGUGGCGGCCUGCGUUAUUCCCUGGGGAGUUGGCGAGCGAGCGUUGAUCUGGGGGUUUCCGAAUGGGGUAACCUAGCCUCCUGUUUUGGGGGUUACUGCGCACUGAAUUGAUAGGUGUGUGGGAGGUACGAGGGGAAGUGAAACAUCUUAGUACCCUUAGGAGAAGAUAUUUCGUGAGUAGUGGUGAGCGAAAGCGGAUGAUGGCUAAACCGUG